UAGCUGCAAUGGGUGUUGGUAGACUUCGAUGACCUUUGGUUGUAACUUGUAUUGCUAUCUCCCAGUCUAUACCAAAUGAUUAUUUGGCCUCAAUGGGUGUUGGUAGACUUCGAUGACCUUUGGUCGAAUUGCUAUCUCCCAGUCUAUACCUAAGAACUACCGGAUGGAAAUAUCAGUGGAAUAUUAUGGACAAUAUAAUCAACGGACUAUAAUGAAAUAAAUCUGCUGUUACUGUACAUGUUUUCAUGAUAGUAGUGUGUGGAGAUUGGAGAAUCAGCUAUCUGGAAUUUAUACAAAUUUGAUGGAAUGGUGAUUAUUUGGCCUCAAUGGGUGUUGGUAGACUUCGAUGACCUUUGGUCGAAUUGCUAUCUCCCAGUCUAUACCUAAGAACUACCGGAUGGAAAUAUCAGUGGAAUAUUAUGGACAAUAUAAUCAACGGACUAUAAUGAAAUAAAUCUGCUGUUACUGUACAUGUUUUCAUGAUAGUAGUGUGUGGAGAUUGGAGAAUCAGCUAUCUGGAAUUUAUACAAAUUUGAUGGAAUGGGUAUAUUUUUAAUCAGUAAUGAUGACAAAGAUUCAAUGUAAAAAAUGAUUGGGACAUGAAAAGUAUUUUCUUGGAAGAUAGAAGAUUGGUAGACUGAUUUUUAUUUGAGAAGUCUGUAAGGUCAUAUAAACAAACAUACUCUUACAUGGUUUAAUCUGGUAUUUCUCAAUCAUAGAUUUCUAGUUUUUGGAAAAUUUACUAGGUAUUUGCAUGUCGUAUUACUAAUAUCGUUUAGUUGUCAUACAUAUAAUAUAUGGAUACAUUAUAAACUAUCCAACUACGUACAUAAAUGCCAGAUUGCAGGUUACACGCUUCACUAGCUAAUGAACCUAAUGAACCAUUAUGAAAAGAACAACAAAUAUAUUUAUUUAUCUCAUAGUAUAAUUGUAGUUACUUUUUCCAUUUAUAGCAGGCGGUUUGCGUUAGCUGAUAGUUUUUUAGUCCCACAGAAAAUGACCUCUCGUCUGAUUACCAGUCCAUGUUGAGUAUUUGCUGUAUAAAGUGCAAGGAAUCUUAACUUCAUGUUGUAUCCUGCUCAGUAUCUAUUAUGUAAUGAAAUAUUACAUUACAAAUGUAAAGAUGAGGUUUUCAUGAAUGGAAACAUUUUAAUACGUCGUAUCUUUUGCAUUUAACCACAUUUCUUUUAUAUUGAAUGUUUGGCUUUUCAUCUGUGUUACCUUGUAGUUAUAAUCAUGGCAAGGAUUUAGUUUAAUCAAAUUUUCCUAUUGAUUCUGUUAAAUUUUAACUAGCAAUAUUUCGUAUGUUAAAAGAGUCUUCUGCAAAAUAUUCUAUUUAGAUUAUUCAGAUUGCUUUUUUGUAGUGAAAUAUUACGAAUGUAAAGGUGGGGUUUGUCUGGAAAUAAAUAUUUUAAUAUGUCGUA